rnacentral:rRNA from 1 species
UACGUAGGGUGCGAGCGUUAAUCGGAAUUACUGGGCGUAAAGGGUGCGUAGGCGGUUCGUUAAGUCUGUCGUGAAAUCCCCGGGCUCAACCUGGGAAUGGCGAUGGAUACUGGCGAGCUAGAGUGUGUCAGAGGAUGGUGGAAUUCCCGGUGUAGCGGUGAAAUGCGUAGAGAUCGGGAGGAACAUCAGUGGCGAAGGCGGCCGUCUGGGGCAACACUGACGCUGAAGCACGAAAGCGUGGGGAGCAAACAUG